GACGAACCGUGCGAACGUUAUUCGGAAUCACUGGGCUUAAAGCGCGUGUAGGCGGCCCGGCACGUCCGUCGCUGAAAUCCCCCGGCUCAACCGGGGAAGGGGCGCGGAUACGACCGGGCUGGAGGGGGGUAGGGGAAUCGGGAACUUCCGGUGGAGCGGUGAAAUGCGUUGAGAUCGGAAGGAACGCCCGCGGCGAAAGCGAGGUCCUGGACCCUUUCUGACGCUGAGACGCGAAAGCCAGGGGAGCGAACGGG
rnacentral:rRNA from 1 species